rnacentral:tRNA from 1 species
GUAGAUGUAGCUCAAUGGAAGAGCACCUGACUGUUAAUCAGGAAGUCGCAGGUUCGAAUCCUGCCAUCUACG